GAAGCAGCGCCCCCGCCCUCCUCCUCUCACCGGCCCUCACUCGCACCCUCGCGCUCGGGAUGUCGAGGGACCAGGAACGAGACGGAUCGGACCACCGCAACGGCGACGAGGACGAUGAUUUCGACGAAGAUGCCAUCCUCGCCAACCUGUCGCCUGAGCAGCUGCAGCAGCUCGCCGAGGAAGUGGCCGCAAACGACGAGGAGCAGGAGGAGCAGGAGGAGGAGGAAGAGGCCACAGGAAGUACCGACGACGAUGACGACGGUGACGGCGACAACGGGAAAGAGUUUGACGAAGACGAAAUCCUCUCGGCGUUGUCCAAGGAUCAGCUGCGGGAGCUGGAGAGGGACCUGGACGACAUCCAGCCGGACGUCUCCCUGCCCGUUGGCAUGCGGCAGAAGGACCAGACAGAGAAGAUAGCGACCGGCUCCUACAGCCACCACUCGCUCAUCGACUACAUGCAGAAGCAGAAGAAGCUGGUGGAUCUCGAGAGGAUUCCAGAGCCUCUGGUCAACGGACAGAACAAAAACGGUGACGGCAAAAUCGAUUCCCGGCGACCGCUGGCGGAAGACGAGGAAGCGGUCGACGCGGAGAAGAGCAGCGGCCGCGCGGCCGAGAACGGCACGGCCGAGCGGGCGGCUCGCGCGGAGGGGCCUCCCGGCCACGUCGCCGGGAAGCCCCGCGAACGUUCGUCCGAGAGUUCCGACUCGGGCGGCGAGGAGCGCGAGAGGAGCGCGCCGGUAGAGUCCUUCGCCCGCGGCGAGAGCCGUUCGGCGGCGGGAGGAGAAUCGGCGUCGACGGCGAACGGCGUCGGCGUUCCGAACGGACGCGGCUCCGUCACGCCUCCCCAGGAGGGCUCGAGUGAACCUGCCGGCGCCACCGCCGCUGACAACGCAGAUAACCCCACUGGUGAACAGAAGCAAGGCGAUGGUGAUGGCGGUGGCGACGACGACGCCGAGUCAUUCAAACCGAAAGAGCCUCUCAAGCUCCCCGGAGCGUUGGCCAACAGCCUGAAGGAUCAGCUCGCGGCCAAGUUUGGGGCCCUUCAGAAGGGGCCCAUGGGCAAGGGGCCACUGGGCAAAGGGCCUGCGGCGAAGGGACCCGGCCGUCUGUCGGGAAACCCGACGAUCGUGGACGACGCCCUCAGGGGGGUCCAGAACAACGACCCCGAGCUGACGGAGGUCAACCUCAACAACAUCGAGAACGUCCCCAUGGAGACGCUGGUGCAGUUCGCCGAGGCGCUCAAGAAGAACAAGCACGUGAAGGUGUUCAGCAUCGCCAACACGCACUCGGACGACAACGUGGCGUACGCCAUCGCCAACAUGCUGCGUGCCAACCGCAGCAUCGACAAGCUCAACCUGGAGUCCAACUUCAUCUCGGGCCGGGGCAUCGUGGCCAUCAUGCGCUGCCUGCAGUUCAACGAGGCCCUGCUGGAGCUGCGCUUCCACAACCAGCGGCACAUCCUGGGCACGCAGGCCGAGAUGGAGAUCUCGCGCCUGCUCAAGGCAAACAACACCCUGCUCAAGAUGGGCUACCACUUCGAGCUGCCGGGCCCGCGCAUGAUCGUCACCAACCUGCUGACGCGCAACCUCGACCGCCAGCGGCAGCAGCGGCUCAUGGAGCAGCGCAUCCAGGAGGAGCAGCAGCAGAUCAGGAGGAUGCUGGCGGCGGGCCUGGCCGAGAUGGGCGAGGAGGGCAAGGAGGGCCACUAUGACGAGGAGGAGGAGGGCGAGGAGGAGGAGGAGGGCUGGACGGACGGGCUCGCCGCGUCUCCGCGACACAAGGUCCUCCGUGGCUCCCAGUCGCUUCCGGCGUCGCCGCCGGCGCCGAGGUCUCCGCGGCCGCCCGGCUCGCCGGUCCCGGCCGACGGCAGGAAACCGAGGAGCGUCGGCCGGACGCAGGCCGAGUCGCACAGAUCGUCGUCGGCCAGCGGCGAGGACGCGAUGGGCGGCGGCCGCCGCGGCGGCGAAGGCGGCGGGUGGAACAUGCAGGGGGUGCUGUCGCAGGAGGAGACCGGCGCCACGGGGGGUCCCAGGCUGAAGAAGAGGCCCGAGGGCGAGAAGGAUUCGUCGUCGAAGGCCCAGUCGCGCUUUCUGCUCAAGCGCGAGCAGCACGACUUCCGGCACGUGCUGCAGCCCACGCGGAAGCGGAAGGUGAAGCAGAACCCCAAGCCCAAGGAGAACUGCAUCCACGAGGACCUCAUGUCGGAGAUUCGGACGACGAACGUCGCCAUGCUGAAGAUGACCCCGAAAUCGAUGGAACAAUUGAAGGAGGAGUAUCUGAAGUAGCGAAGACGUGGAAUGAAAGUCCCCAACUCUUUAACUUUCGCGAACAUUUCGGAGACGCCGCGCCGCGACACCCUGCGGAGGCAACGGUGUUCACUCUGAUGCCCUCUCACGUGACCUGCUUAGCGCUCCGCACGCCAACGGAGCCGCCCGGAUGUAGAGUGGGGGGUGUGUGGGGUGGUGGUGGUGGCAAAAAAAACAUAGGACGUGUAGCGGUUCUGGGUAGCGGUUAGCGCGCUGCGUUAUGAACCUGGCGACCCGGGUUCGAUUCCCGCUCACGGCCAACACCAGUGACGAUUAUCUGAACCGGUCCUGGGCCUCUCCUAGGUCGACUCAGCCUUAAAUGAGUCGCUAGUGCGGUGUGUAAAUAUCGUCACUGGCGAGACAAAGGCGGCCGGGCGUGGUGUUGGCCACCCAUCCCCUCGUAUGCCGUGCCGGCUUUUAUAGGUGCUCGCUAACAGCACUUGCCCCAAUAGUCUGUUAAGGCUAUACGGGGGAUCUUUGUUUUGGUGGCAAAAGUGAUCCGGGGCCUCACACAAAAGAGGGUCCCACAACGGCCCUCUUAAUAUGUUUUGGCACGAAUGGGUCAAAGGGCCGGAUCCACGUGGCCGUCCAAACUAAACUAAUUUAUUUUACCAGGUAAGUCUCCCACUAAGCUAUAUGGCUGUCUUCAGCGACCUGGCCAUCGCAAAUGAUAACCCAACGAAGUGGCUUAUCACGUGGUCAUUUAUAGCAGCCAAAAAUUGUGGAGGAAAAAAAACGGAGAACUCGGAGAAAAAUCCACGCGACCGCGGGGAGAGAGACACGCAAACUCCAAAUAUACAGCAGCAGGCGUCACGGUCGGGAUCGAACCCACAAACAGGCGAGGUAGUUACAAUUUCGCCCACUGCCAGGGACCUCUCUUGGGUGGCCCUGAACACCAACUGGCUGCCGCCAAAUGUGUUGGCCGUGUUGCAUAUAGGGUCAGAAGAAAAUGUAAAAUCUGCAUUUCUGAGAAAUUCGGCAAGAGGGGAUAGCUGCGUGUGCAUUCCUCGUCUUGAGCGGUGCAUCAUCGUUGUUGUCAACAUUCUUACACGGCACACGGGGGGAAGACUUCACAGGACAGCAGCUGCCUCAACAAGAGCAUGAUCCUAGGGAGACACCACGAAGCUAAGGCAACCCGAGUUAGAAUGUUCGUGGACAUCAUCGCUCCAAAUCAAGCGAGCUUGUACCUCUUCUUUAAUUCUUUCGGUAAAGUCACGUAGAAGGGAAAUAAUAAAAUAAUAAAAAUAAAACAUAAUAAAAUAAAACUCUGUCUUCUCGACAGACCUGCUUAUCACCUGGGGAUGGCUGCUUGCGUUGUGGCCGAAACGUCGUGAGAAUUAUUUCAUGACCGAAAGAACCAAGAAGAUGAAUCCCUGCGGUCACGAAAGCUUUAAAUCGAGCUUGUACCUGUUCACACGGCUACUGUUAGCCGACUUUUUUGUUUACGAUUGGACCCAGACAUCCGCUUAGUUGCUCCCACCUCCUGACAUUCACAAUGUUGCCAUCGCCGCCACCAAACACCAACCUGCCCCUGACCCACUGCCGCUACCCCCUCUGGGCUAAACGUAAGCAGCUAAAAGUGGCCGUUGUGUUUUUUUUUGUUUCAUUAUAAUUAUACUCUUUGGGUCUUUCGGUUAAAGUCACCUAGAUAGAAUUAUUUUUUUUAAUCACGACGUUUCGAUCGCAACACAAGCAAUCGUCUUCAGGUGAAAAAACACAGCAGGAGAACUGCUGAGGCAGGAGAUAAUUUGAUUGAAAUGAUCACAAUUUAUCAUGAUCACAGUUUUGGGAUUUACCACCAGUGACGUAGCCUCGGUGGAAUUGAAUUAAGUGAGCCCCCCCCCACCACCUCUGCUGUGUACGUAUGUAUGUUGAACUUCUUUCGCACCGUACGUAGGCAACCGUGCUAAUCGGAGGUUUGCAUCUUCAAUGUCCCAGUGCCCCACGUGUUCUGCCACUGAUCACUAAGCAUCACCUCCCUCGCAAUGUCUUUGAAGGCCCCGACAACGUGUUUACACUUUGACCCCCAGGGUACGAUGGCGAGAUGUUAACUACCUCGCCUGGUAUACAGGAAGUUGUGGGUUAGAUCUCGACCCUGAUGCCUGUAUAUUUAGAGUUUGUGUGUUCUCUGUACUUGUGAUUGCGUGGAUUUUUCUCCCGGUCCACCGGCUUUUCCCUCUACAUGUGGAAUCAACAUGCGAUUGGAGUUAUUUGGCUGCUAUAAGCUUCCACAUGAUGAUGAUGAGCCACUUCCUUGAGCUAUCAUUUGUGAUCGCCAGGUCGUUUCCGAAAAAGAACUGCAACACAGCUCAGUGGCGCCUUACCUCGUCAAAUAAAACAAGUGUUUUUUUUUAUUUAAAGCUUUCGUGACUGCAGGGAUUCAUAUUCUUGGUUCUUUCGGUAAAGUCACGUAGA